rnacentral:rRNA from 1 species
UACAGAGGUCCCAAGCGUUGUUCGGAUUCACUGGGCGUAAAGGGUGCGUAGGUGGUUGGGUAAGUCUGAUGUGAAAUCUCCGGGCUCAACCCGGAGAUGGCAUUGGAUACUAUUCGGCUAGAGGGUUGGAGGGGGGACUGGAAUUCUCGGUGUAGCAGUGAAAUGCGUAGAUAUCGAGAGGAACACCAGUGGCGAAGGCGAGUCCCUGGACAACACCUGACACUGAGGCACGAAAGCUAGGGGAGCAAACAGG